rnacentral:rRNA from 1 species
GGCUCGUAGGCGGUUCGUCGCGUCCGGUGUGAAAGUCCAUCGCUUAACGGUGGAUCCGCGCCGGGUACGGGCGGGCUUGAGUGCGGUAGGGGAGACUGGAAUUCCCGGUGUAACGGUGGAAUGUGUAGAUAUCGGGAAGAACACCAAUGGCGAAGGCAGGUCUCUGGGCCGUCACUGACGCUGAGGAGCGAAAGCGUGGGGAGCGAACAGGAUUAGAUACCCUGGUAGUCCACGCCGUAAACGGUGGAUGCUGGAUGUGGGGACCAUUCCACGGUCUCCGUGUCGGAGCCAACGCGUUAAGCAUCCCGCCUGGGGAGUACGGCCGCAAGGCUAAAACUCAAAGAAAUUGACGGGGGCCCGCACAAGCGGCGGAGCAUGCGGAUUAAUUCGAUGCAACGCGAAGAACCUUACCUGGGCUUGACAUGUUCCCGACAGCCCCAGAGAUGGGGCCUCCCUUCGGGGCGGGUUCACAGGUGGUGCAUGGUCGUCGUCAGCUCGUGUCGUGAGAUGUUGGGUUAAGUCCCGCAACGAGCGCAACCCUCGCCCUGUGUUGCCAGCACGUCGUGGUGGGAACUCACGGGGGACCGCCGGGGUCAACUCGGAGGAAGGUGGGGAUGACGUCAGAUCAU